rnacentral:lncRNA from 10 species
GGUUUUGCUGCUCUGGGUCAAACACAGCUGAUCUUGCUCCACUCAGCUGGCCAAUCAGCUGAAGGCUGGCUGGGCUAGAGUAGCCUGGCUGGCAGCUGGGGCACUGGAGUUGACAGAGUUGACAAGGACCAUCAGUCUCUUGUUAUCCAACAGGCUGACUCAGGCUUGUUCUCAGGUGGCUGAACAGAGUUUCAGGAGUGCAAGCAGACAUGCAUGAGGCUCAGAACCGGCAUGCCAUCACUUCCUUACCAUUCUGUGAGACAAAGCAAGUGGCAAGGCCUUGACAAGUCAAGGAGUGGGAAAGAAGCCUCCACCUCUUGAUGGAAGGAGCUGCAUCAUAUUGCAAGCGGUGUGGGGCACUGGAAGGGGGAGAAUGGGGGAUGAAUUAUGCUAACCUCUACUUCUGUUAUCACAUGACAUCCUCCCCUGUGUAUCUCUCUAUGCCUUCUCUUCUUGUAAGGACAUCAGUCAUUGGAUUUGGGGCCCACUCUAAAUCCAGGAUGAUUUCAUCUGAAGAUUCUUAACUGAUUAUACCUCCAAAGACCCUAUUUCCAAAUAAGGUCUUGUUCUGACAUUCUGGGUGGACACUAGGAGGUUGCAUAGUCUCCUCCCAAAAUUCACCCAGAAUUUUGGGAAGACCACUUUGCAACCUACUACAGAGGCUUAAAUAAAACAAGAAAGUUAUUUUGCUCCCGUAAUAAGAAAUCCAGCAAGAAAGGGCCAUUGGCAUGGUGGCCCAGUGUCCCAGGAUGUCCGAGCUGACCUGUCUGACAUUCCCCUGGCCUUCACCUAAAGGCUGCUCUGGGUCCAUCCCUCAUGUCCACAGGAAGGAGGUGGGGGAAGAAGGACAGUGUCUGCUGUCUGUGACCCUUUGUAUCAGAAAAGCAAACUUUUUCCAAGAAACCUCACGUUAGAUUUGUCCUCAAAUCUUGUUGAUUAGAGCUAGUUAUAAGGCCACCCCAACUGCGAGAGAGUCUGAGAAAUUAAGACACAUGAUGAGACACAGAAUGAUCAUGAAUGACCUAAACCAAUCGUGAGCCAUUGUUUGUGCUUGACUUAUGACCAUGUUGAAAAAAACUGGGUCUGUUAGUAAAGAAGCAGGAAGUGGGUCUCAUGUCCUGCCAGUGUCUGCCACCUGCAAUCUCUUCUGAAUUCAGUCCAUACGAGUCUGUUUCUGAGAGCCUGCAAAGACCCUGUUUCCAAACAAGGUCUUGUUCUGAGAUUCUGGGUGAACGUGAAUUUUGGGAGGACACUUUUUGGCCUGCUACAGAGGCUUGAAUGUUCUGACGAAAUCUAGUUUUUGACCUUGAAUAGAGUAGCCCCACCAAGAGAAUACAACCCACAAGAAAUGCCUCUUCUUUCCAACCACUCUAGAGCAGGAUUGUCAACCAGAGCUGACUGUGUCUCCCAGGGCACAUGUGGCCACGUCUGGAGACGCUUUGGAUUGUCACGACUAGGGGUAGUUGCUGGGCCCCAGCGUCAAGCACAUACAGGUGACAAAUUCCGUCUCUGAGUGAGGGCCCAAAGAAGCUCUCAGCUCAAUAAACGGAGAUGUGUGUGAUGUACACACAUGUGCAGGGUACUAGUGGGAGACAGGGCAAGGGAACCUAGAGGUGUUGCUGGACUGAUCCUAGAAGAUGCAGAGUAUUAGCCUAACAGAGGAAGGACAUUCCAGGAUGAGAAAUGUCUGGAGACACAGCCCUGAGGACAGAAAUUCCCCAGGGCUCUCAGUGGCCAGGGGCCAAGCAUGGCAGCAGAAAUCCAAUGUGAGGCUGUUGGCCAAAGCCAGGCACAGGAAGGGUGUGCCAUGGUCAGCACUUUUGGGGGUACCAUUAAAAGAUGUACCCCAAAGAGGGGUAUGGUCUAACAUGCGUUUUAAGAAAAGUUCACUUUGUCUUAACAGAUGGAAUUAUGAGAGGCCAAGAUUGAAGAUGGAGGUAAAGGUUGGGGGGAUGGCCUUUUGAGAGAAAUAGAAAAUCAGUAAUGGGCACAGUAUUAGGUAUGCAAAGGAUUAUUUAGGAGAAAAUAAAUUAGGGUCAGUUAUUGUAGUUGCUAUAAGAAGCGAUCUCAAAUCAGAGUGGCAUCACAUGUUAAGAGUUUAUUUCUUAUUCACUUCCCAGUCCACUGUGGGCCUGCAUGGGGCCUGGGGUAUGGGGAAGGAGAACUCUGCUCCACACAGUCAUUCAGGAAUCCUGGCUCUUUCAGGCAGAAGUUCUGCCAUUCCCUUGGGCCCUGGAGUUUUCAGCUAGUUCUCUGCAGAGGGCCAGCAAAGGGGUGAGGGGAAGAAAUAGGAUGGAGCAUCCUGCAGGAGGUUUAGGGUCCAGGUCUGGGGGGUGGCCAGCACAUCACUCACAUGCAUAUUUUGGUGGCCAGAACUCAGACAUGUGGCCCCAUCUAACUUGAGGGAGGCUGGACUAUAUAGUCCAGCUGAGAGCCCAGAACAAAAAGGAACUGGGUCUGGCAAACACAGCACACUGACUUUGCCACAACAUGUUUCGGAGGUAAAAUCUUUGGGGGCUCAGUAAUUGAUUCAACGUGGAAGAAGGAGAGAGGAAAGUUCAGAGAGCUUCCAGGUUUCCACCAGGGAGGUCGGAACAGGUUGCCUUAGAUGGUGACCGCAGGAGCCACUGCCUGAGCAAGGAAGAUGGUGCAUUCAUUUUAAAAUCGCUGUGUAGCUUAACAUUCACUGCCCGUAUUAACAUGUGUCCUGCAUUCCAUUUAUUGGAGAAAUGUUUCUUUUUCUUUAUUUUUUAAAUGAAUAUAAUUUACAAUGUAAAAGGUCAAAUAAAAUGAAAGUGAAACAGAAAAAUCCUCACUUUUCAAUAUUCCUUUCUCAUCUAAUGAAGACCCCUUCCCUUCUCUAUUUCUCCCGGCUCCCUGCCUUAGGCCUAAAGCAACAACCAGAAGCCUUCCUGGGUGUUUACAUUACAGCACACCAGACUGCAGGCACCGCCACCCCAGACUCUGCCUGCAGCUAAAGUCACCAAGUUUGCCGUGCCCCAUAACUGAGGUCAUUGGCAGCCCAGCACCAAGCCUCACUGGCAUCAAGGGCAGCGGGUUAGUAAGCAUGGCUCCACACGGGUAAGCAGUUCUAGGAAAUGGGAAGAAACCCAGACCAUCCAUCUCAGGGCCAGGCUCUCCUUCCCCCAUGGUAAGAAGGUGAAGACUUGGAGAUUGGUGAGUCAGGCAAUCAAGGUCAAAUUGACAUACUCUAGAAGAUUACAUGCCGUGUGGAACAGUACUGGGCAGUGGACCCACUGGGACAGGGGCUCAGGAGGCUAUGGCAGUCCCGCAGGAGAUUCUGGAGGUAAGGGGUUGAAUGGGGAGCAGCGUUGAUUUGGAUGCAGCAUGGAUUUUGAAGUAGAGCCAGCCAUGGGGAGCUAGUGGGGAGGGAGGCAAAGAGUGAACAAAGCAUCCGUUCGGGUCGGUGGCCUCAGCCAUGGAUGAAAGUCUUAUUUCCUGAGAUGGGGGACACUGGGUGGAGCAGGAAGCAUCCCUCUUUAGGAAAUGCUAGGUUGGAGAUGUCCCUCGUACAUCCCCAGGAGACAGUUGGACACAGAGGCUUGCAUUUAGAAGAGAAGCCAGUCUGGAAAGGGCCGUCACGGAGCAAGCCCUGCCUGGCUGGCAUGUAGCAGAGCUGCAUGGGGUGAGCUCACCCGGGCGGGGACGGGUGUGGAAAGCGCAGAGAAGCAGGGUAAGAGCAGCCUGAGGGUGUGGGGGGAGGUGGAUGGAGACGUGGGCUUGUCAUUUGUCUUUGAGAAUUCGCUGCAUGGCAUUUUAAACCUCUUUAAAUUUCUGAGUAGGUUUGAGGUGUGUGUUGUAAGUUUUCAAGGCCCUAUUCAAUAAAAUAUCUGGGUAAUUACUACACUCAGGAAACUGGCGCAAGUCCACUGAGGCCUAAAAAUAGCAAGUUUACAGACCUGUGGAUUCUUUUCUCAUGACAGUGAGGCCUCACAGGCCCUGCCAGGCAGCCCGGGAGGUGCAGGCCCCCCUUAGAGACACAGACAGAGGCUGGACACAGAGCCUGGCUGGCCGAGACCUUUCCAGUGAAUUCUGUGCCACCAGAAGGACAGGCAUAGGCGAUGGCUGGUGCCCUCACGAGGUCACCAGUGGGCUGUUUGUUGAGAAAAAUGCUGCUUGUAAUUUUACUUUCCUUCUGAAUUUUAGCCGUUUUCUUCUGAAUUUUAGCCAUUACACGGAUGAUGGCUAAAAUCACAAAGGGCACAGAAGCACAAAGGCCAGGGGCAAGGGUGGGGAGAAGCAUGGGACAGCCACAUUCUAAACAUGGUGGUGGCAUCCUUGAAAACGAGUGAAUGACCGAGGCAAUCCAUUUCCGAGGUUUUAAUCACAUACAUAAUCAUUGGUUGUGAAAAAGUGUUUCAACACCAGCGAAGACAUGACCACAAAACCAAUGUUUAGGGAAAAACACAGAAGACAUUAUUCACAGCUGUUGUCUAUUCAUUUACUUCUUUGAAUUGGAAGAGUGGUUUUAGCUGUGAAAUGCCUCCAUGCAGCUGGGAAAACGUGGUCUCUUCCAUAGGAGUAUUUGAGGACCUCAACCCUGGGUCCGGACUCUGGUUUACAAUUGUAGUUCAAGAUGUUGGUAUUGGAAGGAGGGGCCAGGAGAACAAAUCCUCCUACACAAAGAGGCUUGCAGGAGAUGUGUUACUGCCAGGGGGCUGUCCACAGUGUACUUACUUCUCCUUGAAGACACCUUGAGAAAGGACAGCGCAUACUGGUAGUGAUCUUGGCAACCUGUCUUAGGCCAGGCACAGAGGCUGAGAUGGGGGGUCACUUUUUUCUUUUUUUAUUUUUUUUGUUUGUUUGUUUGUUUUGAGA